rnacentral:rRNA from 1 species
CCUACGGGAGGCAGCAGUGAGGAAUAUUGGUCAAUGGUCGGGAGACUGAACCAGCCAAGCCGCGUGAGGGAUGAAGGUACAGAGUAUCGUAAACCUCUUUUGUCAGGGAACAAAGGCGGGGACGUGUCCCCGGAUGAGUGUACCUGAAGAAAAAGCAUCGGCUAACUCCGUGCCAGCAGCCGCGGUAAUACGGAGGAUGCGAGCGUUAUCCGGAUUUAUUGGGUUAAAAGGGUGCGCAGGCGGCCUGUUAAGUCAGCGGUCAAACCCCGGGGCUCACCCCCGGCCCGCCGUUGAAACUGGCAGUCUCGAGUUGGAGAGAGGUAUGCGGAAUGCGCGGUGUAGCGGUGAAAUGCAUAGAUAUCGCGCAGAACUCCGAUUGCGAAGGCAGCAUGCCGGCUCCACACUGACGCUGAGGCACGAAAGCGUGGGUAUCGAACAGGAUUAGAUACCCCUGUAGUC